GAUGAAGAACGUAGCGAAAUGCGAUAAGUAAUGUGAAUUGCAGAAUUCAGUGAAUCAUCGAAUCUUUGAACGCACCUUGCGCUCUUUGGUAUUCCGAAGAGCAUGCCUGUUUGAGUGUCAUGAAAAUAUCAACCUUGACUUGGGUUUUGUGCUCUAGUCUCGGCUUGGAAUUGGGUGCUUGCCGCUUUUACGAGCGGCUCACCUUAAAUGUAUUAGCUGGAUCUGUCUUUGAGACUUGGUUUGACUUGGCGUAAUAAGUAUUUCGCUAAGGACAUUCUUCGGAGUGGCCUCGUUUCUAGGACGCUUGUCCGCUUUCCAAUACAAGUUCCACCUCGUGGACAUGACUUUUAUUAUCUGGCCUCAAAUCAGGUAGGACUACCCGCUGACCUUAAGCAUAUCAAUAAGCGGAGGA
rnacentral:misc_RNA from 1 species